rnacentral:tRNA from 1 species
GCCGGGGUGGCUCAGUGGUAGAGCGUGGGCCUGUGGACUGAAAGGUCCUGGGUUUGAUUCCCGGUCAGGGCA